AUCCCAUUCGUACUAAUGGUCAGGUCGUCACCCUUUCAAGGUGAAGGUACGAGUUCGAAUCUCGUAUGGGAUA
rnacentral:tRNA from 1 species